rnacentral:rRNA from 1 species
GUACACUCCUGCGGGAGGCAGCAGUGGGGAAUUUUGGACAAUGGGCGAAAGCCUGAUCCAGCAAUGCCGCGUGAGUAAAGAAGGCCUUCGGGUUGUAAAGCUCUUUUGUCAGGGAAGAAACGGUGAAAGCUAAUAUCUUUUGCUAAUGACGGUACCUGAAGAAUAAGCACCGGCUAACUACGUGCCAGCAGCCGCGGUAAUACGUAGGGUGCAAGCGUUAAUCGGAAUUACUGGGCGUAAAGCGUGCGCAGGCGGUUUUGUAAGUCUGAUGUGAAAUCCCCGGGCUCAACCUGGGAAUUGCAUUGGAGACUGCAAGGCUAGAAUCUGGCAGAGGGGGGUAGAAUUCCACGUGUAGCAGUGAAAUGCGUAGAUAUGUGGAGGAACACCGAUGGCGAAGGCAGCCCCCUGGGUCAAGAUUGACGCUCAUGCACGAAAGCGUGGGGAGCAAACAGGAUUAGAUACCCCUGUAGUCCCAUGA